UAACAUUCAAUAUGAAAUUAUAUAAAAAGUUAUUAUUGUCAAUUAAAAUCAUUCAUCAGUUAUGUCAUUUCAGUCAGAGUAAAAUAAACUGAAGUGCAUGAAUAUGACCUUAUACCAACAUUCAUUCAUUCAUUCAUUCAUUCAUUCAUGUAUAUUAUUAUUAUUUAUGUAUGCAUGUCAAAAGACAAAAACUAUGACCAAAUAAAAAAUGGUUUAAAAUUGACUCUGGAGGAAGGGUGGAUCUUCCUUCACAUGAAGUAUAGUUGUCCACAGUGUGUUUGUCUCCAAAGCAGUACAUGUAUUCUGUUUCUCAUAAUACUGACAAUUAGGUUUUGAUUCUGUAAAAUAAAGCUUCAGUGUAAUCUUUUUUAAUCCCCAGAGCUCCGAGCAAAAUGACAGCGAUCCGAAGAUCUGCUACAGGAUAAAGUAUUCUCACAUCACCCUUGGGACUCCAGGACAAUAACGACUCUGUCUCAUCCAUCAUCCAGCUAUCCUCAUCCUCUAGCACUCGGGUCCCCGGCCUCAGGAGGGGACCCCAGACAGCUGUGGGCGGUUUAUUAGGCCAUGAGAUGACUGGGAACUUCCAGACAGGGUGUGUGAGCACAAACCAGGGUCGAUCUGAUGCAUGAGGAAAAGAGAGGGAGGACAAAUUCUCCUGUGUCUUAUUUGCUCUGGAACCAUCAGGAUGCUGAGAAUAAAACAAACACAGUUGGCCUUCCCUCAGGGACAAUUGACAAUGUCUUACUGCUCAGUUGGACGCUUCGGCUUUACGGAGAUCAUGAGAUUGUGAGGAUGCAUGAGCUUCUCACUUUUCAAAAAUGGACUCGAGGUCAUCAAUGGUGUUAAAAAAAAUAACACAGCUUGAUUGUUAUUCCAGAGAAACUGUCAUGUACGUGCUCUCUCUCUCCCUGUCUUUCUGCCACAAUAGACCGCAUUUCAUUAGAGGCAUCAGCGAGGUAAUUCAGGAUAAAAUAUGGAAGCCAAAUUGCUUGGCGUGAGAUGCCUUUCAAAGUAACGGUGUUGGAGGGAAAACCUAAAGAGCAGGAGGCCUUGUUAAUAAAAGAAUGGAAAACACUCGAGAUGAACACGUGCCUCUUCAUAUGGCACGUAUUGAUUUGAUUUCACUUCAUCAGCUGGAGGAUUUUUGCAUCCUUCACACACGGUUUAGAAUAGCGUGUGUUUGUAUGCCUGAUAUAGGCAGAGCUCUCGUGACCUUGUCGGCAGCAUUACAGUGUGUGUCGAGCAGAUAAGGGGUGUGAUUUUAAAGCCUCUGAGACAAUAAAGUGGAUAAAGUAAACCAACAAACACUGAAAAUUAAGCUUUCACAGAAUAAUAAAUAAAUAAAUACAUUGAAGAACGAAGCGAAUUUCCGAUUCGAGACACACUGUCUCUCCAUUUUAAAGGUCACGGUUCUAUUUGUGUUCUGUGGAGAAAUUAGUCUUCCAAAAUAACAAAUUUAAUCUACAAAAAUGUGGUUGAGACAUUUGUAACAGUGGAAUAAGGUAAAAUCACUGUGACAUCUUCAUGUAAUCAGGUCGGCGUGACUCAACCGCAAGAGCCGGCGUUUAACAUUCAGACUGGAGCUAAAGGACAAGAGCCUGAUAUUCAGAACAAAUGACAUCUUUUCCACAUAUACAGACAGUUCUGCAAGCCUACCAUCCUUUGUCCAUAACACUUUAGCAUUCUGUUUAUCUGGGUAUAAAGGCUUGAAAUGGAAAUGGUGCUGUGAUCCGUUCAAGUUAAUUUUUCCUUUUUGUGCUGCUGAAUGGCGUCUUGAGGAUUAGAGGGCACUCGUGCAUGAAGUACUUAUGACAGAUUCAUGCUGUUGCUAUGAUGCACAUGUAACCAACACAUACCAACGAUGAGCUGACUAAUAACUAACCUCGAUUUAGUAUUGCCUGUCUGGAUUUUGAUUAUUGUAUUUUUUGGAUUAAAAGCAAUACACUUUGGAUUAAAAACAAUAUUUUUUUUUCUAUUCUCUGAUCAGUUAUGAACAUUAGGGUUUUGUAACAUCAUUGCAUUGCAUAGUUGUGACACUGUGCACCUUAUACUGUAUGUGAAACAUUUAAUAUAUUUCUGUUAAAUUGAAAGAAAUCUGUGAAAUUUACAGUAAAAAAAGAAAAAAAGACAAAUGUGAUUGCCAGAACAUUACUGUAAAAGUUUUACAGAUUGCACCUAAUUUUAUAACAAAAUAGAUUUUAUAUACUUUAUUAUAUCAAUAAAACUGCAAAAAGGUCAUGAUUUCAUAUAGCUACCCAACUCCAUCCAUUUAGCUAUGCAGACCUGCCAAACUUUGAUUUUACAUAAAAAAAAUCUCUCCCCCUCUCAAAGGUAAUUUAUGCACAGCCGCUGUCAGCAGGAACAAGCUCUAACAUUGUAAAUGUCUCCGAGUUGUUUUAUCACUCUUCUUGUGUGUAGUUGGCAGUGAACGAGGCCCUGGUCAUCCUCUGCCCGUGGGACUCUGAACGCCCUUCCCAUCACCGGCCAGAAUGAUGUACAGUGUGAGGCCGUGGUUAGCGGCGUGAAGGAAAUUGAAUACA
rnacentral:lncRNA from 12 species